AGCAUCUGAAGCAAGGAGAAGCAAGAAUAGAGGAAAAAGACGUUGACAUACACCAAGCUGAAGAGAAGUGAAGAUCCCAUGAUGAAGGUCCUACCCAUUCUGGCCAUGAUGSUACUCGGGGCGUCUGCCAUKGUGCUCAACGCCCUAAACUCCCCCGAACCUAAACUGGUCUCUGGGAAGGUCAAGGCCUUUCUCCCAUGUCCUGGCCAUUCUACCUGGUAUAAACUGUGUGUCACGACUUCCGAUGAA